rnacentral:rRNA from 1 species
UACCUAUACGUUGCCUCGGCGGAUCAGCCCGCGCCCUGUAAAAAGGGACGGCCCGCCCGAGGACCCUAAACUCUGUUUUUAGUGGAACUUCUGAGUAAAACAAACAAAUAAAUCAAAACUUUCAACAACGGAUCUCUUGGUUCUGGCAUCGAUGAAGAACGCAGCAAAAUGCGAUAAGUAAUGUGAAUUGCAGAAUUCAGUGAAUCAUCGAAUCUUUGAACGCACAUUGCGCCCGCCAGUAUUCUGGCGGGCAUGCCUGUUCGAGCGUCAUUUCAACCCUCAAGCUCAGCUUGGUGUUGGGACUCGCGGUAACCCGCGUUCCCCAAAUCGAUUGGCGGUCACGUCGAGCUUCCAUAGCGUAGUAAUCAUACACCUCGUUACUGGUAAUCGUCGCGGCCACGCCGUAAAACCCCAACUUCUGAAUGUUGACCUCGGAUCAGGUAGGAAUACCCGCUGAACUUAAGCAUAUCAAUAAGCGGAGGAA